rnacentral:tRNA from 1 species
GGAGGAUUUCCGAGCGGCCAAGGGCAGACUGUAAAUCUGUUGUCAUCGACUUCGGUGGUUCGAAUCCACCAUCCUCCACCA